rnacentral:rRNA from 1 species
AACGAACGCUGGCGGCAUGCCUAACACAUGCAAGUCGAACGAGACCUUCGGGUCUAGUGGCGCACGGGUUCGUAACGCGUGGGAACCUGCCCUUAGGUUCGGAAUAACUCCCCGAAAGGGGUGCUAAUACCGGAUAAUGUCUUCGGACCAAAGAUUUAUCGCCUUUGGAUGGGCCCGCGUUGGAUUAGCUAGUUGGUAGGGUAAAAGCCUACCAAGGCGACAAUCCAUAGCUGGUCUGAGAGGAUGAUCAGCCACACUGGGACUGAGACACGGCCCAGAAUCCUACGCGAGGCAGCAGUGGGGAAUAGUAGACAAGGGGCGAAAGCCUAAUCCAGCAAUGCCGCGUGAGAGAUGAAGGCCUUAGGGUUGUAAAGCUCUUUUAACCGGGAUGAUAAUGACAGUACCGGGAGAAUAAGCCCCGGCUAACUCCGUG